GAAGGGAGGGCUCCUUCCUGCUUCCGGACCAUGUUGGAUGUGAGUCUAGAUGCGAGACAUCUAUUAUAGAGAUAAUAGAAGAGGUUAGCGGAACCAAGGAUGGUUCACUUUUCUUCUUUAGAAAUACCAUUAAUGCUGAUCGUCUUCGCCGCCGCCUGCGUGCUCGCCUUCGCGCCCGGCCCGGCCUCGCCCCGGUCUUCGCCUCCGCCUCGGCCGCAGAGCUUGCCCCCUCCCCACCCGCAGACAAUGUCCGAGUCCAAGAACGGCCCCGAGUAUGCUUCGUUUUUCGCCGUCAUGGCAGCCUCGGCCGCCAUGGUCUUCAGCGCCCCGCGCGCUGCCUAUGGCACGGUCAAGACCGGUGCCGGCAUCGCGGCCAUGUCUGUCAUGCGGCCGGAGCUGAUCAUGAAGUCCAUCAUCCCGGUGGUCACGGCUGGCAUCAUCGCCAUCUAUGGCCUGGUGGUGACAGUCCUCAUCGCCAGCUCCCCGAAUGACGACAUCAGCCUCUACAGGAGCUGCCUCCAGCUAGCGCCGGCCUGAGCGUGGGCCUGAGCGGCCUGGCAGCCGGCUUUGCCAUAGACAUCGUGGGGGACGCCGGUGUGCGAGCCACGGCCCAGCAGCCCCGACUAUUCAUGGGCAUGAUCCUGAUCCUCAUCUUCCCCGAGGUGCUCGGCCUGUACGGUCUCGUCGUUGCCCUCAUCCUCUCCACAGAGUAGCCCCUCUCCGAGCCCACCAGCCACCGAAUAUGAUGUAAAAACCACCCCUCCUCAUUCCAGAACGAAGAGCCUGACACACACGCACGGGACCGCGGCCCCCAGUAGUUGAUCUUGUACAUGCGCAGCGCAGCGUCCUAGUGCCGGUUGUCUGUUGCCCUGGCCUUGCCCCCACCCCACUCCCCACGCCGCCCCGUGCCAUGGACAUCUGGGUCCACUCAUCGCCCCUCCAGGCCCCCGGUGCCCCACCCCCUAGAGUGCUCUGUGUAUUCGGAUGACUUAGAGUUGUCAUUUCUCUUCACUGGAUGUUUAUUUAUAAAGAUCUGGCCUGUUCCCGCGUCUGCGGAGAGGCCCUGGUCUCCCAGCUGUCUAUAACCUUAGCUAGAGUGUGGCCUUGUGGGCUCCUGUUGCUGAGACCUCCUGGAUGGAGCUGCCCUCGCCACCGGGCCCUUGGCCCUGCACGGAGCUCUGUCCAAUAAAGUUCUCGGAUUUGGGGG